GCCGGGCUCGCCGGGCGGGGCACCGAAAUUCCGGUGUCGCACUGUCACACCCGCCCGCCACGUCUAGCGGUGGUCCGCCUGCUCAGCCUCUCCGUGCCGGCCGCCUCGCCGCUGGCGCCGGCCGUCAUCUGCACGUCCACCGUCACCUCCCCGGUGUCGCCGCCGGCUGCGCUGGUGGUGUACUCGGUGGACGGGUUCAGCCCGUACUCGCUAGUUGGCUCGCUGAACUCGCUGCUCGUGUACUCGCUGACGGUGCCCGUACCGGUGGCCGAGCCGAACGCCAUCUUCCUGAGCCGCUUCAUCUGGUCCGUCGUGCCGCCGCUCGUCCGCUGCAUCGCGCUCUGCCCGGGCGUCACGCCAGCGUUCAGGUCCUCCGCCGCCAGCUCGCCCUCCAGUGUACAAGCUACGGAGUUGCUGAAACCAGAAGCCGUGCGUGAAGGUGUGAGGAGUUUUGGCAAGAACCUGGCUCAUCCGCGGGCGAGACCGCGCGGUGUGGCGCACGGCGGCGGCCGCGCAGGCGAUCAGCCGCCCCAUGUCGUACGCGUCGUAGUUGUUCUCCAGCCUCGGGUCAACCAGCUCCUCGAAGUUCUCCUCCUCCACAGCUCUCACCAGCAGGGGUCUCGCCUGCUGGUCACCGUGAGACACCAUGAUAGGCUUCUUCCCGGUGAUCAGCUCCAGGAGCAUCACGCCGAAUGA
rnacentral:lncRNA from 2 species